rnacentral:rRNA from 1 species
AUUGAACGCUGGCGGCAGGCUUAACACGUGCAAGUCGAGCGGGGAAAGGUAGCUUGCUACCUGACCUAGCGGCGGACGGGUGAGUAAUGCUUAGGAAUCUGCCUAUUAGUGGGGGACAACAUUCCGAAAGGAAUGCUAAUACCGCAUACGCCCUACGGGGGCAAGCAGGGGAUCUUCGGACCUUGCGCUAAUAGAGGAGCCUAAGUCAGAUUAGCUAGUUGGUGGGGUAAAGGCCUACCAAGGCGACGAUCUGUAGCGGGUCUGAGAGGAUGAUCCGCCACACUGGGACUGAGACACGGCCCAGACUCCUACGGGAGGCAGCAGUGGGGAAUAUUGGACAAUGGGCGAAAGCCUGAUCCAGCCAUGCCGCGUGUGUGAAGAAGGCCUUUUGGUUGUAAAGCACUUUAAGCGAGGAGGAGGCUACUUGGAUUAAUACUCUAGGAUAGUGGACGUUACUCGCAGAAUAAGCACCGGCUAACUCUGUGCCAGCCGCCGCGGUAAAAC